GAGAUAACUCCUACGGGAGGCAGCAGUGGGGAAUCUUGCGCAAUGGGCGGAAGCCCGACGCAGCCAUGCCGCGUGAAUGAUGAAGGUCUUAGGAUUGUAAAAUUCUUUCACCGGGGACGAUAAUGACGGUACCCGGAGAAGAAGCCCCGGCUAAUUUCGUGCCAGCAGCCGCGGUAAUACGAAGGGGGCUAGCGUUGCUCGGAAUUACUGGGCGUAAAGGGCGCGUAAGCGGAUCGUUAAGCCAGAGGUGAAAUCCCAGGGCUCAACCCUGGAACUGCCUUUGAUACUGGCGAUCUUGAGUAUGAGAGAGGUAUGUGGAACUCCGAGUGUAGAGGUGAAAUUCGUAGAUAUUCGGAAGAACACCAGUGGCGAAGGCGACAUACUGGCUCAUUACUGACGCUGAGGCGCGGAAGCGUGGGGAGCAAACAGGAUUAGAAACCCUGGUAAUCCUCCACU
rnacentral:rRNA from 1 species